rnacentral:rRNA from 1 species
UACGUAGGGGGCAAGCGUUGUCCGGAAUCAUUGGGCGUAAAGCGCGUGUAGGCGGUUCGAUAAGUCUGCUGUGAAAGUCAAAGGCUCAACCUUUGAAAGCCGGUGGAUACUGCAUGACUAGAGUACGGAAGAGGCGAGUGGAAUUCCUGGUGUAGCGGUGGAAUGCGCAGAUAUCAGGAGGAACACCAAUAGCGAAGGCAGCUCGCUGGGACGUUACUGACACUGAGGCGCGAAAGCGUGGGGAGCGAACAGG